GAACGCCCGUAGCAAUACGGAGUGGCAGACGGGUGAGUAACGCGUGGGAACAUACCCCUCGGUUCGGAAUAACUCAGGGAAACUUGAGCUAAUACCGGAUACGUCCGAGGUUUUAAUCGACCUUGGAGAAAGAUUUAUCGCCGGAGGAUUGGCCCGCGUCUGAUUAGCUUGUUGGUGAGGUAAUGGCUCACCAAGGCGACGAUCAGUAGCUGGUCUGAGAGGAUGAUCAGCCACAUUGGGACUGAGACACGGCCCAAACUCCUACGGGAGGCAGCAGUGGGGAAUAUUGGACAAUGGGCGAAAGCCUGAUCCAGCCAUGCCGCGUGAGUGAUGAAGGCCUUAGGGUUGUAAAGCUCUUUUACCCGGGAAGAUAAUGACGGUACCGGGAGAAUAAGCCCCGGCUAACUUCGUGCCAGCAGCCGCGGUAAUACGAAGGGGGCUAGCGUUGUUCGGAAUUACUGGGCGUAAAGCGCACGUAGGCGGAUCCUUAAGUCAGGGGUGAAAUCCCGAGGCUCAACCUCGGAACUGCCUUUGAUACUGGGGAUAUCGAGUCCGGGAGAGGUGAGUGGAACUGCGAGUGUAGAGGUGAAAUUCGUAGAUAUUCGCAAGAACACCAGUGGCGAAGGCGGCUCACUGGCCCGGUACUGACGCUGAGGUGCGAAAGCGUGGGGA
rnacentral:rRNA from 1 species